ACAUAAGAGAGGAGAGAGACACCUCUCUCUUUUCUUUUCUUUUCUUUUUUACCUUUUCUUCUUUUCUUUUCUUCUUUCUUUCUUUGGCCAAACAAGAGAAGGAUACGAGAGGUGGCUAGUGCUCUGGUAGGGUGCGAUGAUAUAGCCAGAGAUCUGACAGUAGGUGGUCGAUGAUCAUAGGGUAGGGGAUAGCUGGCGGUG
rnacentral:lncRNA from 1 species